rnacentral:rRNA from 1 species
UACGAAGGGGGCUAGCGUUGUUCGGAAUUACUGGGCGUAAAGCGCACGUAGGCGGACAUUUAAGUCAGGGGUGAAAUCCCGGGGCUCAACCCCGGAACUGCCUUUGAUACUGGGUGUCUAGAGUAUGGAAGAGGUGAGUGGAAUUCCGAGUGUAGAGGUGAAAUUCGUAGAUAUUCAGAGGAACACCAGUGGCGAAGGCGGCUCACUGGUCCAUUACUGACGCUGAGGUGCGAAAGCGUGGGGAGCGAACAGG